GACGAACGCUGGCGGCGUGCCUAAUACAUGCAAGUAGAACGCACAGUUUAUACCGUUGCUUGCUUCACGAUAGACGGUGAGUUGCGAACGGGUGAUUGACACGCAGGUAACCUGCCUGGUAGCGGUUGGGAACUAUUGGGAACGUUAGCUAAUACCGCAUAAUAUUGAUUAUUGCAUGGUAAUUAAUUGAAAGGUUCAAUUUCACCACUACCACAUGGACCUGCUUUGUAAUAGCUAGUAGGAGAGGUUACGGGCCAACCAGGCGAAGAUACAUAUCCGAACCGGGAGGGGGAACGGCCAAACCGGGAAUGAGACAACGCCCAGACUCCUUAGGGAGGCAGCAGUAGGGAAUCUUCCGCAAUGGGCGGAAGUCUGAACGGGGAACGCCGCGUGAGUGAAGAAGGUUUUCGGAUCGUAAAAACCUGUUGUAAGAGAAGAAAGAGUGUGGGAAUGAACAGUUCACACUGUGACGGUAUCUUACCAGAAAGGCACGGCUAACUACGUG
rnacentral:rRNA from 1 species